GUGCCAGCCGCUGGCGGUAAUACAGAGGUCUCAAGCGUUGUUCGGAUUCAUUGGGCGUAAAGGGUGCGUAGGUGGCUUGGUAAGUUGAAGGUGAAAUCUCGGAGCUCAACUCCGAAACUGCCUUCAAUACUGCCGGGCUUGAGGAUUGUAGAGGAGAGUGGGAAUUCACGGUGUAGCAGUGAAAUGCGUAGAUAUCGUGAGGAAGACCAGUGGCGAAGGCGACUCUCUGGGCAAUUCCUGACACUGAGGCACGAAGGCCAGGGUAGCGAACGGGAUUAGAUACCCCGGUAGUCCUGGCAGUAAACGGUGCACGUUUGGUGUGGGAGGAUUCGACCCUUCCGUGCCGGAGCUAACGCGUUAAACGUGCCGCCUGGGAAGUACGGUCGCAAGAUUAAAACUCAAAGAAAUUGACGGGGCCCGCACAAGCGGUGGAGUAUGUGGCUUAAUUCGAUGCAACGCGAAGAACCUUACCUGGCCUUGACAUGUAUCGUGACAAUCUGUGAAAGCAGGUGACUGCCCGCAAGGGUGA
rnacentral:rRNA from 1 species